rnacentral:ncRNA from 1 species
GACGCAAAAUUUAGCGCUGGCGUCCAUAUGCGCCAAUCCAGCCGGUCAAGGGGGAUGAAAAGGGAACUCGGUUUGAACCCGAGGCUGCUCCCGCAACUGUAACCGGCGAGCCAAGGCGCCACACUGCCACUGGGAACACCCGGGAAGGCGGCGCCAAGGCAGCGACCCGGGAGCCAGGAGACCUGCCCGCCACAGUCGAUUCCU